rnacentral:lncRNA from 1 species
CCUGGUUGUGAGGGCUGGUGUGUAUUUACACACGCUCGCAUAGAGGCUGAAUAUACUGCCAGAAAUAUGCAUGCAGUAACUCCAGCUUUACAGUGGGAUGUUGAUUUAAUUUUCCUCUUACACAAAUCUGAGAGCAGUUUGUUUAAUAGAGGCUUUCAGAAAGCCCUGUAAGGUAGGGUGUUAUUAUGCCUGUUUUAAGCAGGAGGAAGAGAAGCAGAGGACAAAUCCUGCCGAGAAUAAUAUUCUCUUGUAUUCUAGGAAGUAGUGAAUGAGGACGGGGAAAGGUUUGCUGGCACACAGAGGAAAAUCACACCGUUUCAGGCAAGGCAGAACAAACAAUGGUUCUCACCGAUGCUGUGUGCUGUUUGGAAGUGAACGUGAUCACGGAGGAAACAGAUUUUUGUUUAAGAAAAGCCCACCCUGUCUCUGCUGAGUCCGAAUCUGGGUUAUUAAGUCCUAUGGGAAAGAAUGCUGUCACAAAGAGCCCAGCUGAACUGUGUCUUAUCAUCAAUAAAUCCGUUUUUAUCCAUUGCUGUGCCAGGGCACCCAGGCAGAAGGGAAAGACCGCAUGGGGACGGACGGUGCACCUCUGCUCUGAGCGGUGCUGUGCUGGAAUACAGGAGAAAAACCUCCAGGAUCUCUGACUUAGGGGCUCUGAUGGGGAGAAGUCCAAUCGCUGACCUCCCGCAGAGGCUGUCUGAUAAGCUUGUCUGUCCCUCAUACCUACCCAGGCGCUUUGCUGACAGCACACGAUGCUCUUAGAGGAAUUCUCCAGAACUUCUGCCCGCGGCCAUAAAUGCGGUUACCUGUUGAUCCCUUUCCCCUCCGCAGCACAGAAAGGCGAGCUGCCUCGUCCUAUGGGAGCUGGUUUGGUGCCUUGGAAAGGAGCUGUGGCUGCAGGUGUUGCGUGGAAGACGAUUUAGGGAGGACAGCAUUAGGGUUUGCAGCAGAGAUGGGGCUCUGUGAUGCAUACCCCAACCCUCUUGGGAAGGCACAAGAGGAUGGAUGGUGUAACCUCAGCUCAUCGCUGAAGUAACCACCCACAGCUCCGACUGUGUUGGAGAAAACAUUGGUGUUUGGAAUACGUUCUCCAGGUGUCCAGGAGCCUUCAGCCUCCCGGGGUCCCCACCAAAGUGACCCCCACCUCCUCCAGAACACACAGAUGGGGCACAGAGCAGCGGAUUCAGCAGUGCAGCAUCUGGUUUCUGUUCGGUGCUCUGAGAUCACGAACCGCCCCAUCCAAAGCUCAUCCCGUAGGUGCAGCCAUGGGUGCUGGGAUCCCUUCCUGGGUCCGACAGCCCCCGGAGCAUCUCCUCCCUCCACCCCAAAUCAAACGGAACCAAUGGAAUGCAUACAUCCUUUCCAACCAUGCUAACCGCAAUGGUACUAAUUAGCACUCCGCUAAAUGGCCGUGAUUAGUUUAGCAGCUGAUGGAAUAUUUAAUCUAGAAUGUCUCUCUAUUUUGGGGGGGGGGGAAGAAAAAAGCAAACCGAAAAAGCGGGUCGUUUAUUUAUUUCUCUAACAAAUUCCUGCUGCUGGCCAUGCUGAAAACGUGAAUCACGCAGCGGGAGCUGAGACUGGAGUGGCUCUUCUACCGAAGGGAAAAAAAAAAAAAAAGAAAAAGAAAAAGAAAAGCAGAUUAAAGUGCAGGAAACGCAGCUUGUGAGAUGAGGCAGGCGCCUCGCAAAGCCAUUUGCAACACAAAGUUAACGAAUAACGCCGGGCUCGGAGCACGAUAAAUGAACGAGCGCAAAAUAGCAGAGCUUCCCCCUCCAUCGUGCUGAUGGAGCGG